rfam:Toxocara canis scaffold119, whole genome shotgun sequence.
GAGGUAGUAGCUCAGUGGUAGAGCUCCCGCCUCUUAUGUGGGAAGACCUGGGUUCGAUUCCCGGCUGCUUCC